UUUAAAGAAAGCGUAAUAGCUCACUGGUCGAGUCGGCCUGCGCGGAAGAUGUAACGGGGCUAAACCAUGCACCGAAGCUGCGGCAGCGACGCUUAGGCGUUGUUGGGUAGGGGAGCGUUCUGUAAGCUGUUGAAGGUGUGCUGUGAGGCAUGCUGGAGGUAUCAGAAGUGCGAAUGCUGACAUAAGUAACGAUAAAGCGGGUGAAAAGCCCGCUCGCCGGAAG
rnacentral:rRNA from 1 species